rnacentral:rRNA from 1 species
GGGUUGUGAGGUUAAGCGACUAAGCGUACACGGUGGAUGCCCUGGCAGUCAGAGGCGAUGAAGGACGUGCUAAUCUGCGAUAAGCGUCGGUAAGGUGAUAUGAACCGUUAUAACCGGCGAUUUCCGAAUGGGGAAACCCAGUGUGUUUCGACACACUAUCAUUAACUGAAUCCAUAGGUUAAUGAGGCGAACCGGGGGAACUGAAACAUCUAAGUACCCCGAGGAAAAGAAAUCAACCGAGAUUCCCCCAGUAGCGGCGAGCGAACGGGGAGCAGCCCAGAGCCUGAAUCAGUAUGUGUGUUAGUGGAAGCGUCUGGAAAGGCGCGCGAUACAGGGUGACAGCCCCGUACACAAAAAUGCACAUAUUGUGAGCUCGAUGAGUAGGGCGGGACACGUGGUAUCCUGUCUGAAUAUGGGGGGACCAUCCUCCAAGGCUAAAUACUCCUGACUGACCGAUAGUGAACCAGUACCGUGAGGGAAAGGCGAAAAGAACCCCGGCGAGGGGAGUGAAAAAGAACCUGAAACCGUGUACGUACAAGCAGUGGGAGCACGCUUAGGCGUGUGACUGCGUACCUUUUGUAUAAUGGGUCAGCGACUUAUAUUCUGUAGCAAGGUUAACCGAAUAGGGGAGCCGAAGGGAAACCGAGUCUUAACUGGGCGUUAAGUUGCAGGGUAUAGACCCGAAACCCGGUGAUCUAGCCAUGGGCAGGUUGAAGGUUGGGUAACACUAACUGGAGGACCGAACCGACUAAUGUUGAAAAAUUAGCGGAUGACUUGUGGCUGGGGGUGAAAGGCCAAUCAAACCGGGAGAUAGCUGGUUCUCCCCGAAAGCUAUUUAGGUAGCGCCUCGUGAAUUCAUCUCCGGGGGUAGAGCACUGUUUCGGCAAGGGGGUCAUCCCGACUUACCAACCCGAUGCAAACUGCGAAUACCGGAGAAUGUUAUCACGGGAGACACACGGCGGGUGCUAACGUCCGUCGUGAAGAGGGAAACAACCCAGACCGCCAGCUAAGGUCCCAAAGUCAUGGUUAAGUGGGAAACGAUGUGGGAAGGCCCAGACAGCCAGGAUGUUGGCUUAGAAGCAGCCAUCAUUUAAAGAAAGCGUAAUAGCUCACUGGUCGAGUCGGCCUGCGCGGAAGAUGUAACGGGGCUAAACCAUGCACCGAAGCUGCGGCAGCGACACUAUGUGUUGUUGGGUAGGGGAGCGUUCUGUAAGCCUGUGAAGGUGUGCUGUGAGGCAUGCUGGAGGUAUCAGAAGUGCGAAUGCUGACAUAAGUAACGAUAAAGCGGGUGAAAAGCCCGCUCGCCGGAAGACCAAGGGUUCCUGUCCAACGUUAAUCGGGGCAGGGUGAGUCGACCCCUAAGGCGAGGCCGAAAGGCGUAGUCGAUGGGAAACAGGUUAAUAUUCCUGUACUUGGUGUUACUGCGAAGGGGGGACGGAGAAGGCUAUGUUGGCCGGGCGACGGUUGUCCCGGUUUAAGCGUGUAGGCUGGUUUUCCAGGCAAAUCCGGAAAAUCAAGGCUGAGGCGUGAUGACGAGGCACUACGGUGCUGAAGCAACAAAUGCCCUGCUUCCAGGAAAAGCCUCUAAGCAUCAGGUAACAUCAAAUCGUACCCCAAACCGACACAGGUGGUCAGGUAGAGAAUACCAAGGCGCUUGAGAGAACUCGGGUGAAGGAACUAGGCAAAAUGGUGCCGUAACUUCGGGAGAAGGCACGCUGAUAUGUAGGUGAAGUCCCUCGCGGAUGGAGCUGAAAUCAGUCGAAGAUACCAGCUGGCUGCAACUGUUUAUUAAAAACACAGCACUGUGCAAACACGAAAGUGGACGUAUACGGUGUGACGCCUGCCCGGUGCCGGAAGGUUAAUUGAUGGGGUUAGCCGCAAGGCGAAGCUCUUGAUCGAAGCCCCGGUAAACGGCGGCCGUAACUAUAACGGUCCUAAGGUAGCGAAAUUCCUUGUCGGGUAAGUUCCGACCUGCACGAAUGGCGUAAUGAUGGCCAGGCUGUCUCCACCCGAGACUCAGUGAAAUUGAACUCGCUGUGAAGAUGCAGUGUACCCGCGGCAAGACGGAAAGACCCCGUGAACCUUUACUAUAGCUUGACACUGAACAUUGAGCCUUGAUGUGUAGGAUAGGUGGGAGGCUUAGAAGUGUGGACGCCAGUCUGCAUGGAGCCGACCUUGAAAUACCACCCUUUAAUGUUUGAUGUUCUAACGUUGACCCGUAAUCCGGGUUGCGGACAGUGUCUGGUGGGUAGUUUGACUGGGGCGGUCUCCUCCUAAAGAGUAACGGAGGAGCACGAAGGUUGGCUAAUCCUGGUCGGACAUCAGGAGGUUAGUGCAAUGGCAUAAGCCAGCUUGACUGCGAGCGUGACGGCGCGAGCAGGUGCGAAAGCAGGUCAUAGUGAUCCGGUGGUUCUGAAUGGAAGGGCCAUCGCUCAACGGAUAAAAGGUACUCCGGGGAUAACAGGCUGAUACCGCCCAAGAGUUCAUAUCGACGGCGGUGUUUGGCACCUCGAUGUCGGCUCAUCACAUCCUGGGGCUGAAGUAGGUCCCAAGGGUAUGGCUGUUCGCCAUUUAAAGUGGUACGCGAGCUGGGUUUAGAACGUCGUGAGACAGUUCGGUCCCUAUCUGCCGUGGGCGCUGGAGAACUGAGGGGGGCUGCUCCUAGUACGAGAGGACCGGAGUGGACGCAUCACUGGUGUUCGGGUUGUCAUGCCAAUGGCACUGCCCGGUAGCUAAAUGCGGAAGAGAUAAGUGCUGAAAGCAUCUAAGCACGAAACUUGCCCCGAGAUGAGUUCUCCCUGACUCCUUGAGAGUCCUGAAGGAACGUUGAAGACGACGACGUUGAUAGGCCGGGUGUGUAAGCGCAGCGAUGCGUUGAGCUAACCGGUACUAAUGAACCGUGAGGCUUAACCUUACAACGCC